rnacentral:lncRNA from 1 species
CUGCCAUAGUGGAAGUUUCUCAAGAGGCUUGGCCUCUGCAGGAGGCUUCUGCCUGGAAACAGUGGGCGGUGGUGUGGGUGCAGGAUCUUCUUGAUGCUGAUCUCCUGAUAGUGAGAUCUCAUGUGAUCUGGUUGUCUAACAGGGUAUGGUACCUCUUUCCUCUCUGUGUCUUGCUCCUACCCCUGCCAGAUGAAACAUCUCAUUGACACUUGGCCUUCUGGUAUGAUUAGGAAGGGCCUGGUCAGUGAACUAGUCAGUUGGGACUUGGUCAAUGAGGCCUAUUUACUGGGGGAAUGGUCAGCCAGGGUCUGCUUAGAGAGGGUCUCAUUAGAGGGAUCGAGUAGUGCAGGUCUUGUUGAGUGGGGACCUAGUGGCAGACAAAUGUUUGGUGUCUGGUCAGUGCAAACCUGGGCUGCAGGGCUUGGUGAGUGGAGACCUGGUCAGCUGUGGCUUAGUGGUAGCCUUGUCAGAAUGGGCUGGGUCACUGGUGACCCGGUCAAGGGGUGCUAUUCAGUGGAGGCCUGGUCACAUGGGACCUAGUCAGCAGGGCAUGUCCUCAUCAGUGAGGCCCUUGUCAGUGGGACCCUGGUCACGGCAGCCUGAUCAGGUCAGUGGAACCUAAUCAGUGGGGGCCUGGUCAGAGAGGACUUGAUCAGUGGUGGCUUUUGUGGCACUGGUCUAUGGGGUGACCUGGUCAACGGGGUCUGAGCGGUACAUGCCUGUUCAGUGGUGCCUAGUCACUAGGUUCCUGGUCAGGGGCAUCUGGUCACCGCAGGCCUGGUUAGUAGGGGCCUGGUCACUGGCAGCCUGUUCCCUGGAGACCUGGUCAGUGGGGCUUCAUCUGUGGGGCCAGGCAAUGGGGUCAUGAUUGAUGGAAUGUGGUCAGGGAGGCCUUGUCAGUAAGGCCCUGGUCAGUGAGGCCUUGUCAGGGAGGUCUUGUCAGUGAGGCCCUGGUCAGUGAGGCCUUGUCAGUGAGAUCCUUGUCAGUGGGGUCCUGGACACUGUCGGCCUGGCAGCGGGAAUCUAGUUAGUGGGGCCUGGUGAUGGGGGCCUAAUCAGUGAGGGUGUGGUCAGGGAGGACCUGAUGUGCGGGAUCUGGUCAGCAGGGACCUGGUCAGUGGGGCUGCUGAGCACUGCUGGGAGGUGUCAGGGGAAAUGCCUGUUGUCAGGGGAAAUGCAUGUUAUCAGGGGCCCUGUGGACAGCUGGGAUGGCCCAGUGGUGUCCAAUGGCCCAGUCAAAAGUGGACAAAGCAGGUGUUUGGAUGGACCUGGGAGAUCUUGCUCAGAGAUUCUGAAAGAACAAAGGUAAAGGACGGGCCAGAGUGGCUAGAGAGAUGGUCACAGUCUAUGGGCUGCACAGGAUGGAGGAAGCCAGGGAACAGGCAGGGUGGGCAGCAGGGGUGCAGGGAGAGGCAGGUGCAUGCUGGGAGGUCGGACCCUGUGAGGGCUGUGGGGGCGUCAGGUGGGGUGGGCUCCAGGUGAACUCUCAGUGCACUGGGCAGGUCUCGGUCCAGGCUCUCUGGACCCUGGUCGGGUGAUGUGGUCACUCCCUGGGGGACUGCUGUCAGGCCCAGCCACCCACCCUUGGCAGCAGUGUCCCAUCUCUGGACUGGACUUUCUCAGAUCCUGCAGAGGGCACAGCCUUCAGCCCAGAAGGGGCAGCCCCUUGGUGCAGCCCAAGCUCUCCAUGGGCCUGGAGCAUCCCUGCCAGCCCUGCGCUCCGUCUACUCCCACGUCCCGCUUUUCAAGUGUCAGCCAGCAGAGAGGCUCCAUCCUCCCUUCCCUAUGUGUCUCCUGGGCUGAAACUUGGGGUGCAUUGGGACAGGGAUGGUGCUUUCCUCAGGCCCAUUUAGGGAGGGGACUGGCUCCCAGCCUGGCACAGGUCCUCAGCUCUGCCUUGGUUGCCUUAGAGUGACAUGGAUCAGUCAGUGCCCUGAAGGUAAAUGGAAGAGACUGUCCCUGCUGUGUGGGAGGCUGGUCUAGGGAUGGAGGACUUGGCAGGUCCUCCCAGUCUGUCAGGCCUGGACAGCACUGUCCUGUCUCAGGACUCAGAAAGUCCGGUCCUGGGAUGGGAUGGUGCUGCCCAGGGUGGGUGGCCAGGGCUUGACAGCAGUCCCCCAGGGAGUGACCACAUCAGCCAACCAGGGUCCAGGGAGCCUGGCCUGAGACACCCACCCAGUGCAUUGAGGGUGCACCUGGAGCCCACCCCACCUGAUGCCCCCACAGCCCUCGCAGGGUCUGACCUCCCAGCAUGCACCUGCCUCUCCCUGCACCCCAGAUGUCCACCCUGCCUUUUCCCUGACUUCCUCCAUCCUGUCCAGCAGGAUGGGCUGGUCAGUGGGACAGCCUCUGUGCACAUUUUGUGGCAAGUAGGAGUGACACAUCAUUCCUGGGAGGCCCCAUGGUUCCUGCCAAACCCAACCCCAGAAUUCUCCCUGAGGUGGUUUUACCAAACCCAUAACCCAGAACUGCUAUUGUGGUUUGGGGGUCAGCACCCACCAGUGCCAGGGCACUACUGGGAGGCUGGGACCUGACCAAAGCCCAUGGUGUCUGUGGCCUGAGGACAGGGUGUCUUGGGGCCAUGAGGACAGGCCACCAAUGGCCGUUGGGUCAUAGGGCCUGAGCCCCAGUGUUUGUCCUUCCCUGGCUCCUUCUGGUUCAGUCCCAUCAGGGCUCUGGAUCCCAAGACGCAGCAUCCAAGGUUCCCUCCAGGAAUCCUGGUGGCUUGGCUUACUUUGUCAUGUUUCAUCUGAUAGCAAAAAUAUCAGAUCGGCUGCACAGAAAAAAUGGCUCAAAGUGCUUAAUGACCAGAAGAAAUCUAGGAGCAGCAAGAAGGUAAUGUGGAGAGGGGAGGACCUCCAUGACCGGUGUCUAUAGAGCCAGGGGUACAGGCACCCAGUGCAGUGACCUGGUACCACCUGCCUCUCAGAGGGUGGGGAGCACACCGUCCUUACCUGGGGGACAGCAGGCCUGGUCACCAGCUUUUCUCCCUGUCCCUGCAAGCAUCACAUUGCUGGAAGAGAAUCUCAUUUCAGAGCUUGGACCAUCCCUAGCUUGGGGGUUAGGGGUUGUCUCUUGGUGACCUAAAUGAAAAAAUAGGUCCAGAUCAGAGUUCCUGAUGCAUAGCACUCACCCACUCUUUGAAUCAUGGGAGGGGAGGCCUAGUCCUAGGUAAACCUAAACUCUUUGAGGAACCACAGAGCCCAAGGCUGGAAACCUCCAGAAUCCUCCAGCCCCCGAUCCUCCCCGGGGACCGCUGUGGCCUGUCUCACCAGAGCACUCUUCUGUCUGUAGAUGCCUCAGCUGCUCUACAAGGGAGUCCCAUUUCAGGUGUGGGGCUGGGUAUGGUCAUUCCUGCUGGAUGUCUAGAAGGUGAAAAACAAGGACCUAGGAAAAUACCAGAUACAGCAUUUCCACCGUCAUCCAGAGCAGGACAAACACGCCAGGUGGUGUCAGGAGCCUAGGUCUCCAGCUGGAGGGAACGUCAACCCUGCAGUGGGAGCCCAUCAUGCAUCCUAGGCACAGAUGCUAAUGUAGGCACCGCAGCCAUUUUGCACACCCUGGUCAGAAUGAAACAUUCCUUGGGAACUUGGGCCAUGAGAAGCAUCCUUCCUGAUCACCUGACUGUAGAAACAUCCUUAUCGCACCCUCCCGGGCAAAGGCCCAACAGCCUGACUGCAGGAACAUCCUUGCCAUAUCCUGCUGGGCAGCAAGCUCUACCGCCCAGACCCCUCCUUCCCAGUCCCAUGAUCACCCCAGCCUGUGAGAGGCAGUUGGUGCUGGCAGUAAGCUGGUUUCCUCCUCUGCAGGGUUUUGCUAGUAAUAAAGGUGUUGCUGUUGAAGCCGC